rnacentral:rRNA from 1 species
CGGGCAGGUGGUCUGUUAAGUCGUUUGUGAAAAUCCGGGGCCCAACCCCGCGAAAUGCAAGCGAUACUGGCAGACUAGAGAUCGGUAGAGGCUAGCGGAAUUCCUGGUGUAGCGGUGGAAUGCGUAGAUAUCAGGAAGAACACCUGUGGCGAAGGCGGCUAGCUGGGCCGAGUCUGACACUCAUCCGCGAAAGCGUGGGGAGCAAACAGGAUUAGAUACCCUGGUAGUCC